rnacentral:tRNA from 5 species
GGCGGCGUAGCUUAGUUGGUUAUAGCGGCCGGUUCAUACCCGGCAGGUCGUUGGUUCGAGUCCGACCGCCGCUACCA